UUUAUAGACACAGGAUAGGGGCAUGGUA
rnacentral:piRNA from 1 species